rnacentral:rRNA from 1 species
ACUCAGCUACACACGACCGUACCGCAAACCGACACUGGUGCGCGAGAUGAGUAUUCUAAGACGCUUGAGAGAACUCAGGAGAAGGAACUCGGCAAAUUGACACCGUAACUUCGGAAGAAGGUGUGCCUUUAGUAGGUGAACCUGUACAAGGGGAGCCCAAUGAGGUUGCAAAAAAUCGGUGGCUGCGACUGUUUAAUAAAAACACAGCACUCUGCAUACACGAAAGUGGACGUAUAGGGUGUGACGCCUGCCCGGUGCUGGAAGAUUAAAUGAUGGGGUGCAAGCUCUUGAUUGAAGUCCCAGUAAACGGCGGCCGUAACAAUAACGGUCCUAAGGUAGCGAAAUUCCUUGUCGGGUAAGUUCCGACCUGCACGAAUGGCGUAACGAUGGCCACACUGUCUCCUCCUGAGACUCAGCGAAGUUGAAAUGUUUGUGAUGAUGCAAUCUCCCCGCGGAAAGACGGAAAGACCCCAUGAACCUUUACUGUAGCUUUGUAUUGGACUUUGAACAGAUCUGUGUAGGAUAGGUGGGAGGCUUUGAAGUGUGGUCGCUAGAUCGCAUGGAGCCAACGUUGAAAUACCACCCUGGUGUGUUUGAGGUUCUAACCUAGGCCCGUAAUCCGGGUCGGGGACAGUGCAUGGUAGGCAGUUUGACUGGGGCGGUCUCCUCCCAAAGCGUAACGGAGGAGUUCGAAGGUACGCUAGGUACGGUCGGACAUCGUGCUAAUAGUGCAAUGGCAUAAGCGUGCUUAACUGCGAGACUGACAAGUCGAGCAGAUGCGAAAGCAGGACAUAGUGAUCCGGUGGUUCUGUAUGGAAGGGCCAUCGCUCAACGGAUAAAAGGUACUCUGGGGAUAACAGGCUGAUACCGCCCAAGAGUUCAUAUCGACGGCGGUGUUUGGCACCUCGAUGUCGGCUCAUCUCAUCCUGGGGCUGUAGCCGGUCCCAAGGGUAUGGCUGUUCGCCAUUUAAAGAGGUACGUGAGCAGGGUUUAAAACGUCGUGAGACAGUUUGGUCCCUAUCUUCCGUGGGCGCUGCAGAUUUGAGGAAGCCUGCUCCUAGUACGAGAGGACCGGAGUGGACACACCUCUGGUGUAUCGGUUGUCACGCCAGUGGCAUUGCCGAGUAGCUAUGUGUGGAAGAGAUAACCGCUGAAAGCAUCUAAGCGGGAAACUCGUUUCAAGAUGAGAUCUGCCGGGGCCUUGAGCCCCCUAAAGAGUCGUUCAAGACCAGGACGUUGAUAGGUCGGGUGUGGAAGCGCAGUAAUGCGUUAAGCUAACCGAUACUAAUUGCUCGUGCGGCUUGAUC